rnacentral:rRNA from 1 species
AGUGAACGCUGGCGGUAGGCCUAACACAUGCAAGUCGAACGGCAGCACAGUAAGAGCUUGCUCUUACGGGUGGCGAGUGGCGGACGGGUGAGGAAUACAUCGGAAUCUACUUUUUCGUGGGGGAUAACGUAGGGAAACUUACGCUAAUACCGCAUACGACCUACGGGUGAAAGCAGGGGAUCUUCGGACCUUGCGCGAUUGAAUGAGCCGAUGUCGGAUUAGCUAGUUGGCGGGGUAAAGGCCCACCAAGGCGACGAUCCGUAGCUGGUCUGAGAGGAUGAUAGGCCACACUGGAACGGAGACACGGUCCAGACUCCUACGGGAGGCAGCAGUGGGGAAUAUUGGACAAUGGGCGCAAGCCUGAUCCAGCCAUACCGCGUGGGUGAAGAAGGCCUUCGGGUUGUAAAGCCCUUUUGUUGGGAAAGAAAAGCAGCAGGUUAAUACCCCGCUGUUCUGACGGUACCCAAAGAAUAAGCACCGGCUAACUUCGUG